rnacentral:lncRNA from 1 species
AGACACAACACAAUCUCAAUCUAUAGUUGGGGAGAUUAGGGAGAGGGAGAUAGUUUAGACACACACAUGCUUUGAGGGUUUCUCUUCUCCUCAUUCCUUCUUUCCUCCCCCUCUUCGUUCAUUUUCUUUUGAUCUCUUCCUGAAUUCUCCCUUCUCUCUCACCCACCUUCUACUUCCCUCUCCUUGUUCUAUCAAUCAAUCCUCC